CCUCUCUACAGCUAGGAGCCAAUGGCAGAAGACAAAACCAAACCCAGUGAGCUGGACCAAGUGAAAUAUGAUGCCGAUGACAACGUGAAGAUCAUCUGCCUGGGAGAUAGCGCAGUGGGCAAAUCCAAACUCAUGGAGUGAUUUCUCAUGGAUGGAUUGUAUCCUUCAAGGUUUGAAAUACCCCUUGUUCCUGUGGGUCUUCCCAUGCUCAUGUAUCUGUGCCCCAUUGCCCACUCCUUUGUAUUUAUUAGCAGUCCAGGAAGGAGGAUUGGGUAACUGAAUGCACAGGUUUUGUUCUGCACUGGUUUCUUGCUGAUUGACCCACAUGGCAUUGCAAAUCAGUGCUGUCUAUAUUGGAGUUUACUCAUAUUUGGAUUUGUCUUACAUUAAGAGGGCAGUAGAAUGGCUAAUAACACGUGGUCUAGAUUCAAACCCCAUCUCCUCCUCCUCCUUAGUAGCUUCUGACACUGGGCAAGUCAUUUAACCUCUCUACCUCAAAGCUUGAGCCCCCUACUAUUGAACAAAUCUCUGAUAUGAAUGAACUUUAUAAAAUAGGGGCUGCCAGCCCCACCCUCCUCCCAUGAAUUGUUAUAUUGUAUAGGUUUGGAGUGAGUUCAUCCCUCUUACUGGGAGACUUUUUAAACAGCUUCCCAAGUGGAUCCACUGAGAACCACAGAUGAGAAGAGUCCCUGGAGCCUGCUGCUCCCUGUCCUAGGCCCAGCACCCCAAGGCUCAGUUGUCUUAAGAUCUGAGUAUGUCUUACUCCACCUUGUACCAGGUGCUUCUGCACACCCAGCCCACCUGUGUCACUUGGCUCUGCUGGUUACACCGUCUGGCAUCUUGCAACCUCAGAAGGUGUUCAGCCCUAGAGUUUAACCUUUUUUCUCAGGGUUUCACACAUAGGCAGACUCCAAAUUGAUUGACAGCAUGCCAGCUGUAUGGCUUGUGGGAGUUUUUUUUUUUUUUCCCUGGAAUGGUCAUGUUGCUACCUAGUGUUAGGGUUUCCUUUCUAGCAUGCAAAAGUUCCAUCCUUGAUGGAGUUGGGGCAUCUACAUUUGCAUUUUCCAACUGCAUGAUGCUAUUUAUGACACUUGUCUGUAAAA